UACGUAUGCUACGUAUGUCCUGGGUAGUGAAGCACGUGUCGUACUCCGGUAGGAUGUAGAUGCGCUCGAGAGCACUGCUGGAGAAGUCGGAGCGCACCCUGUAGCAGUAUGGAACACCCCACCAGGACGACCGGUGCGAAGAGAAGAAAGUCGUCACCGAACCCCCGCGGAAGAAGGAGACGAGGUUCUCUGCCUUCGGCAGCUCGCUUAUGCUUUACCAAAGGUGCCAGUCGAGAAUCGUUCAAGGAUGUCGAAAUAAGUAGCGCUCUAUUCACCUUCAUCUCCUCCCCAAAUGUAUACCAGACUCUCUAUCAAAAAAGACAAAGGACUAC
rnacentral:rRNA from 1 species